rnacentral:rRNA from 1 species
AGUGAACGCUGGCGGUAGGCCUAACACAUGCAAGUCGAACGGCAGCACAGUAAGAGCUUGCUCUUACGGGUGGCGAGUGGCGGACGGGUGAGGAAUACAUCGGAAUCUACUUUUUCGUGGGGGAUAACGUAGGGAAACUUACGCUAAUACCCAUACGACCUACGGGUGAAAGCAGGGGAUCUUCGGACCUUGCGCGAUUGAAUGAGCCGAUGUCGGAUUAGCUAGUUGGCGGGGUAAAGGCCCACCAAGGCGACGAUCCGUAGCUGGUCUGAGAGGAUGAUCAGCCACACUGGAACUGAGACACGGUCCAGACUCCUACGGGAGGCAGCAGUGGGGAAUAUUGGACAAUGGGCGCAAGCCUGAUCCAGCCAUACCGCGUGGGUGAAGAAGGCCUUCGGGUUGUAAAGCCCUUUUGUUGGGAAAGAAAAGCAGCAGGUUAAUACCCCGCUGUUCUGACGGUACCCAAGGAAUAAGCACCGGCUAACCUCGUG